AGAGUUUGAUCAUGGCUCAGGAUGAACGCUGGCGGCGUGCUUAACACAUGCAAGUCGAACGCUGAAGCCCCAGCUUGCUGGGGUGGAUGAGUGGCGAACGGGUGAGUAACACGUGAGUAACCUUCCCUUGACUCUGGGAUAAGCCCGGGAAACUGGGUCUAAUACCGGAUACGACCUCCUGCCGCAUGGUGUGGGGGUGGAAAGAUUUAUCGGUUUUGGAUGGACUCGCGGCCUAUCAGCUUGUUGGUGAGGUAAUGGCUCACCAAGGCGACGACGGGUAGCCGGCCUGAGAGGGUGACCGGCCACACUGGGACUGAGACACGGCCCAGACUCCUACGGGAGGCAGCAGUGGGGAAUAUUGCACAAUGGGCGCAAGCCUGAUGCAGCGACGCCGCGUGAGGGAUGACGGCCUUCGGGUUGUAAACCUCUUUCAGUAGGGAAGAAGCGAAAGUGACGGUACCUGCAGAAGAAGCGCCGGCUAACUACGUGCCAGCAGCCGCGGUAAUACGUAGGGCGCGAGCGUUAUCCGGAAUUAUUGGGCGUAAAGAGCUCGUAGGCGGUUUGUCGCGUCUGCCGUGAAAGUCCGGGGCUUAACCCCGGAUCUGCGGUGGGUACGGGCAGACUAGAGUGCAGUAGGGGAGACUGGAAUUCCUGGUGUAGCGGUGAAAUGCGCAGAUAUCAGGAGGAACACCGAUGGCGAAGGCAGGUCUCUGGGCUGUUACUGACGCUGAGGAGCGAAAGCAUGGGGAGCGAACAGGAUUAGAUACCCUGGUAGUCCAUGCCGUAAACGUUGGGCACUAGGUGUGGGGGACAUUCCACGUUUUCCGCGCCGCAGCUAACGCAUUAAGUGCCCCGCCUGGGGAGUACGGCC
rnacentral:rRNA from 1 species